rnacentral:rRNA from 1 species
CUCCUACGGGAGGCAGCAGUGGGGAAUAUUGGGCAAUGGGGGAAACCCUGACCCAGCAACGCCGCGUGAAGGAAGAAGGCUUUCGGGUUGUAAACUUCUUUUACCAGGGACGAAGGACGUGACGGUACCUGGAGAAAAAGCCACGGCUAACUACGUGCCAGCAGCCGCGGUAAUACGUAGGUGGCAAGCGUUGUCCGGAUUUACUGGGUGUAAAGGGCGUGUAGGCGGAGAAGCAAGUCAGAAGUGAAAUCCAUGGGCUUAACCCAUGAACUGCUUUUGAAACUGUUUCCCUUAGUAUCGGAGAGGCAGGCGGAAUUCCUAGUGUAGCGGUGAAAUGCGUAGAUAUUAGGAGGAACACCAGUGGCGAAGGCGGCCUACUGGGCUUUAACUGACGCUGAGGCACGAAAGCGUGGGUAGCAAACAGGAUUAGAUACCCUGGUAGUCCACGCUGUAAACGAUGAUUACUAGGUGUGGGGGGUCNGACCCCUUDHUC